UACGUAGGGGGCAAGCGUUAUCCGGAUUUACUGGGUGUAAAGGGAGUGUAGACGGUCCUGCAAGCCAGAUGUGAAAGCCCGGGGCUCAACCCCGGGACUGCAUUUGGAACUGUAAGGCUAGAGUGUCGGAGAGGCAGGCGGAAUUCCUAGUGUAGCGGUGAAAUGCGUAGAUAUUAGGAGGAACACCAGUUGCGAAGGCGGCCUGCUGGACGAUGACUGACGUUGAGGCUCGAAAGCGUGGGGAGCAAACA
rnacentral:rRNA from 1 species